rnacentral:lncRNA from 1 species
ACAGUAGCCUUCUUUUAUUUAUUAUUUUUUGAGAUGGAGUUUCACUGUUUCACCCAGGCUGGAGUGAAGUGGUGCAAUCUCAGCUCACUGCAAACUCCGCCCCCUGGGUUCAAGUGAUUCUCUUGCCUCAGCCUCCCGAGUAGCUGGGAUUACAAGAGUGCACCGCCAUGCCCAGCUAAUUUCUGUAUUUUUAGUAGAGACAGGGUUUUGCCAUGUUGGCCAGGCUGGUCUGGAACUCCUGACCUUAGGUGAUCCAUCUGCCUCGGCCUCCAAAAGUGUGAAGAUUACAGGCCUGAGUCACCGCGCCCGGCUGACAGUAGCUUUCUAAUGGAGCCAUCUGCUUCCAGUCUUGCCUCUCAACCCCCAAUUCAUCCUGGACUCCUUGCCAUAAGUGACCUUGCUAAAUGGAGAUUUGCCUCAGGCUCUGGAGCCAGAGAAACUUAGGUUUCCAGCUCAACUACUUAUUCACAAAAGUUCAAGGGCAAGUGUUUUCAUCUGGACUUCAAUAUUACGAACUACACAAUGGAAAUCAAUGUCUUCCCCAUUUCAAAUCUGUUCCCAUCUCAUGUAAUAAGGAAGGGGCCCAACGGUGCCAUUUUGCCUCCAUGUGUCUUUGCUUAGACCAAGGAGAGAAAGGGUG